UACGUAGGGUGCAAGCGUUUGUCCGGAAUUAUUGGGCGUAAAGAGCUCGUAGGCGGUUUUGUCGCGUCUGCUGUGAAAACGCGAGGCUCAACCUCGCGCCUGCAGUGGGUACGGGCAGACUAGAGUGCGGUAGGGGAGAUUGGAAUUCCUGGUGUAGCGGUGGAAUGCGCAGAUAUCAGGAGGAACACCAGUGGCGAAGGCAGAUCUCUGGGCCGUAACUGACGCUGAGGAGCGAAAGCAUGGGGAGCGAACAGG
rnacentral:rRNA from 1 species